CCUACGGGAGGCAGCAGUGGGGAAUAUUGCGCAAUGGGCGAAAGCCUGACGCAGCGACGCCGCGUGAGGGACGACGGCCCUUGGGUUGUAAACCUCUUUCAGCAGGGAAGAAGGGAAACUGACGGUACCUGCAGAAGAAGCACCGGCUAACUACGUGCCAGCAGCCGCGGUAAUACGUAGGGUGCAAGCGUUGUCCGGAUUUAUUGGGCGUAAAGAGCUCGUAGGCGGUUUGCUACGUCGGAUGUGAAAACCCGGGGCUCAACCCCGGGCCUGCAUUCGAUACGGGCAGACUCGAGUGUGGUAGGGGAGACUGGAACUCCUGGUGUAGCGGUGAAAUGCGCAGAUAUCAGGAAGAACACCGGUGGCGAAGGCGGGUCUCUGGGCCAUUACUGACGCUGAGGAGCGAAAGCGUGGGGAGCAAACAGGAUUAGAUACCCCAGUAGUC
rnacentral:rRNA from 1 species